UAGAGUUUGAUCCUGGCUCAGAACGUACGCUGGCGGCACGCCUAACACAUGCAAGUCGAACGAAGUAGCAAUACUUAGUGGCAGACGGGUGAGUAACAUGUAGGUAUCUGCCCUUUGGCCUGGAAUAACACGAGGAAACUUGUGCUAAUACCGGAUAAGUCUUUACGGAGAAAGCUUUAUGCACCAUUGGAUGAGCCUGCACUUGAUUAGUUUGUUGGUGGGGUAAUGGCCUACCAAGACUGUGAUCAAUAGCUGAUUUGAGAGGAUGAUCAGCCACAUUGGGACUGAGACACGGCCCAAACUCCUACGGGAGGCAGCAGUGGGGAAUCUUGCACAAUGGAGGAAACUCUGAUGCAGCGAUGCCGCGUGAGUGAAGAAGGCCCUUGGGUUGUAAAGCUCUUUCGUCGGGGAAGAAAAUGACUGUACCCGAAUAAGAAGGUCCGGCUAACUUCGUGCCAGCAGCCGCGGUAAUACGAAGGGACCUAGCGUAGUUCGGAAUUACUGGGCUUAAAGAGUUCGUAGGUGGUUGAAAAAGUUAGUGGUGAAAUCCCAGAGCUUAACUCUGGAACUGCCAUUAAAACUUUUCAGCUAGAGUAUGAUAGAGGAAAGCAGAAUUUCUAGUGUAGAGGUGAAAUUCGUAGAUAUUAGAAAGAAUACCAAUUGCGAAGGCAGCUUUCUGGAUCAUUACUGACACUGAGGAACGAAAGCAUGGGUAGCGAAGAGGAUUAGAUACCCUCGUAGUCCAUGCCGUAAACGAUGUGUGUUAGACGUUGGAAAUUUAUUUUCAGUGUCGCAGGGAAACCGAUAAACACACCGCCUGGGGAGUACGACCGCAAGGUUAAAACUCAAAUGAAUUGACGGGGACCCGCACAAGUAGUGGAGCAUGUGGUUUAAUUCGAAGAUACGCGCAGAACCUUACCAACACUUGACAUGUUCGUCGCGACUUUAAGAGAUUAAAGUUUUCGGUUCGGCCGGACGAAACACAGGUGCUGCAUGGCUGUCGUCAGCUCGUGUCGUGAGAUGUUGGGUUAAGUCCCGCAACGAGCGCAACCCUCACUUUUAGUUGCCAUCAUUAAGUUGGGCACUCUGAAAGAACUGCCAGUGAUAAGCUGGAGGAAGGUGGGGAUGACGUCAAGUCCUCAUGGCCCUUACGUGUUGGGCUACACACGUGCUACAAUGGUAUCUACAACAGGAAGCAAGACUGCGAAGUUAAGCAAAUCCCUAAAAGAUACCUCAGUUCGGAUUGCACUCUGCAACUCGAGUGCAUGAAGCUGGAAUUACUAGUAAUCGUGGAUCAGCGUGCCACGGUGAAUGCGUUCCCGGGUCUUGUACACACCGCCCGUCACACCAUGGGAGUUGGUUCUACCUUAAGGCAAGGUUUUAAACCCUUGACCACGGUAUAGUCAGCGACUGGGGUGAAGUCGUAACAAGGUAACCA
rnacentral:rRNA from 1 species